UAGGACAGGGUUCUGCAGACUGUUGAGGGGACAAAGUAGGGGGCUCGAGGAGACAAGGCCAAGCCGUCCCUGCCUGCCGGACAAGAGCUCCCAAAUUCUCCUGGGCGUCCUGGAAUCCGCGCGCUCCUGGGGCCUCGGCGUUCUGAGAAGGGGCCCAGCGAUGUCAGGGUUUGACUCUGGCCCCGGCGGCGCCGCAUGCCCGGCUGCCGGCCGGUCCUCCAGCCGAGCACCUGCGAGUAGCUGACAGGCCUGCCCAGAAGCUAGCACUGAAGUCAACCCUUCAGAGACAGGUGUCCAGUGACCUGAAAUGGAACGUCUCUUAAGGAGGGCACAAGUAGAGAAGAUUGAAAGGAAAAUGGCUCAAGGAUUGGGAGCACUUACGUCCUCAAAGAUAUGAAGUAGUACUGGACUUCUCAGGAGCCUCAAGUGCUCCGUUUUCUGCAGAUACAAGUCAAGGAGAGCUCUUACCCUCUUUCUGAUGGCCCUUGCUUGCAACCAGAGCCCUCCCCUCAUUCUUUGUUCUGCCUUGGCAGUUUGCUCCCACACCACUGGCUGCAGGUAAGUGCCUGCAAGGCAUGCUGGGAUUUCUUUGCAGCUAAGCAGUCAUGUGACUCCUGGUGACUGCAGCCCAGUGCUA